rnacentral:lncRNA from 1 species
AGAGCGGCGGACAGCCCCCAAGGCCAGGUUUUUUUUCGGCCGCCGUUUGAAAAUGAGUUGGGCGCCGCUGCCCCCGCCGCAGCCUGGGAGCUGUUCUCGGUGAGCGGUCGCACCGGCUUUGUCCUCAGCCGAGAGUGAUGCUGCCGGGCCGGCGCGGGUGCGCCGCGCGGUUGGGGCGCCUGAAGCGGGGAUAAUUGGCGGCGAGGCGCCGGCCCCAGCAUGUCGCUGCCUCUGGAGAAAGCCUCUGAGCUGAAGCAGCUCAUCCACCAGCCGCUGAGCAGGAAGGAGCCGAGGAGUGGAAGACGACAUUGAGCAGCACCCAACAGGAGAUGACCGUGAUGGUGGACUCAAUGGACAAGAGUUAUGUCGAGCAAGGUGCAAACUGUGGCUAGACGUUCUGGUUCAUGGACACGCACAAUCUGAACGGGAGAGAUGACCACACGAUGGCCACUGAGAUGAGCACUUUGGUGCAUUCCCACACUUAGAAGAAUCACGAGCCGGCUGACGUGCGCUGACAGACUGGGAAGAUUCACCCCGCUAUCCAGGUGGUAGACCAGCGUCAACAUCACACAGAUGAAGUGUGUAGAGGGCUGCGGCUUAAAGGAGGGAUAUGAAGUGACCAUGAGCUUCGGGCCAGGGCUCCUUCUCAGCCCUCCGGGGCCUGAUGCCAGGGACUGUGCUCCCAGCUUAUUCAGCCAGCAGUGGGACCGCAUGAAGGCUGGCAGGAAAGGACCAGACAUUUCAUCCAUGGAUCCAUUUCCUUCCGGCUGUAAGACUUAUUACCUGGAAGCUAAAUCAGCGCUGAGCAAACGUCUGCUGCCAAUCCUCCUCUUUUUACUGAGGAAGAGUGGCCCUGAGCUAACAUCCGUGCCCAUCUUCCUCUACUUUAUAUGUGGGACACCUACCACAGCAUGGCUUGACAAGCGGUGCCAUGUCCGCACCUGGGAUCUGAACCAGCAAACCCCAGGCCGCCAGAGGGGACCGUGUGCACUUAACCACUGCAUCACCAAGCCGGCCCCAUAUAAUUGUGAUUUUAAUCCUAAUAAUUUUGUGGUAAUUACCUCAGAAAGAAACUGUCCA